rnacentral:rRNA from 1 species
CCGUUGGUGAACCAGCGGAGGGAUCAUUACC